rnacentral:tRNA from 1 species
GCGGAAUUGGUCUAGUGGUAUGAUUGACCCUUAGGGUGGGUCAGGCCCCACGUUCGAUUCGUGGAUUCCGCC